ensembl:lncRNA
GAUUUCUUCCUGGUGGAUGGAUGCCUCAGUCCCACUAGGGAAAGGCCCAUGAACCUGAAGAAGCAAAGGAGAAAAGCACAUUAAUAUUUUCCCAGAACCUUAUCCUAAUUGAAAAUGAAUAAUGGCCUUGAGGCCACCAUCAGGCAUGCUGUUUGAAAUGGACCAUAGAAUCCUGGUGUUUUGGAGAAAGCAAUGUGCCAAGUUUCAGAAGAAUUGUCUCUUGUCUUUCCUUGGAGAUACCACUGCCCUUACGACAGAAUGGCAUGCGGACAUGCCGGCUGUGACCACUCUGAUCAAGAGGCAUCUCUUUGGAAGGGAGUCAAGUGCAAAGCAAAGAAGAACAGAAAGAUCAAAGGGGCCUGGGCCAUUGGUGCCACUACAGGGUGUCUGUACCAGACCGAGAAUGUCUCUUCCUAAUCUUGAUAACAUGAGGGGAAAGAAAGCCCUAAGUUGUUUAAGCCGUUGCUUUAUUGUACUCUAUUUGAACAGCCAAAGAAGUGCCCAAUGUACUGCUCCUUCCCACAGGGUCUGAAAUGAAGGGAAAGGAUCAGAAGAUGGAAGUGGAUAUCGAUAAGUUAUAGGGAGGGAGGGGGGCUGUUAAAGUAGAUUAAACUUGAUGGCUUCAACUUUUAGGAUGAAGAAAGAGGCAAUGUCUACUGAAACUGGGUGUAGUAGGGCUUGGAGAAAAGAGAUUUUUAAUCGCUUUAAUGGUGUGCUAAAAUAAA